rnacentral:rRNA from 1 species
UCCUACAGCCCUGCCACCCUGAACAAGCCCGAUCCCGUCUAAUCUCGGAAGCUAAGCAGGAUCGGGCCUGGUUAUUACUGGAAUGGGAGACCACCUAGGAAGACCAGGUGCUGUAGGCU